UUGUCUCAAAGAUUAAGCCAUGCAUGUCUAAGUAUAAGCAAUUAUACAGCGAAACUGCGAAUGGCUCAUUAUAUAAGUUAUCGUUUAUUUGAUAGUACCUUACUACUUGGAUAACCGUGGUAAUUCUAGAGCUAAUACAUGCUAAAAAUCCCGACUUCGGAAGGGAUGUAUUUAUUAGAUUAAAAACCAAUGCCCUCUGGGCUCCUUGGUGAUUCAUGAUAACUUCUCGAAUCGCAUGGCCUUGCGCCGGCGAUGGUUCAUUCAAAUUUCUUCCCUAUCAACUUUCGAUGUUUGGGUAGUGGCCAAACAUGGUUGCAACGGGUAACGGAGGGUUAGGGCUCGACCCCGGAGAAGGAGCCUGAGAAACGGCUACUACAUCCAAGGAAGGCAGCAGGCGCGCAAAUUACCCAAUCCCGAUUCGGGGAGGUAGUGACAAUAAAUACUGAUACAGGGCUCUUUUGGGUCUUGUAAUUGGAAUGAGUACAAUUUAAAUCCCUUAACGAGGAACAAUUGGAGGGCAAGUCUGGUGCCAGCAGCCGCGGUAAUUCCAGCUCCAAUAGCGUAUAUUAAAGUUGUUGUGGUUAAAAAGCUCGUAGUUGAACCUUGGGCCUGGCUGGCCGGUCCGCCUCACCGCGUGUACUGGUCCGGCCGGGUCUUUCCCUCUGUGGAACCCCAUGCCCUUCACUGGGUGUGGCGGGGAAACAGGACUUUUACUUUGAAAAAAUUAGAGUGCUCCAGGCAGGCCUAUGCUCGAAUACAUUAGCAUGGAAUAAUGAAAUAGGACGUGCGGUUCUAUUUUGUUGGUUUCUAGGACCGCCGUAAUGAUUAAUAGGGACAGUCGGGGGCAUCAGUAUUCAAUUGUCAGAGGUGAAAUUCUUGGAUUUAUUGAAGACUAACUACUGCGAAAGCAUUUGCCAAGGAUGUUUUCAUUAAUCAGGAACGAAAGUUAGGGGAUCGAAGACGAUCAGAUACCGUCGUAGUCUUAACCAUAAACUAUGCCGACUAGGGAUCGGACGAUGUUAUUUAUUGACUCGUUCGGCACCUUACGAGAAAUCAAAGUGCUUGGGCUCCAGGGGGAGUAUGGUCGCAAGGCUGAAACUUAAAGG
rnacentral:rRNA from 4 species